rnacentral:rRNA from 1 species
CCUACGGGAGGCAGCAGUGGGGAAUAUUGGGCAAUGGAGGCAACUCUGACCCAGCAACGCCGCGUGAAUGAUGACGGUCUUCGGAUUGUAAAGUUCUUUGAUUGGGGAUGUACACCAUGACGGUACUCCAAUAGCAAGCCACGGCUAACUACGUGCCAGCAGCCGCGGUAAUACGUAGGUGGCAAGCGUUAUCCGGAUGGACUGGGCGUAAAGGGUGCGUAGGUGGUUUAGUAAGUUAGCGGUGUAAUUCCGGGGCUCAACCUCGGCACUACCGCCAAAACUAUUAGACUAGAGUGCAGGAGGGGUAAGUGGAAUUCCUGGUGUAGCGGUGGAAUGCGUAGAUAUUAGGAAGAACAUCAGGGGCGAAGGCAACUUACUGGACUGUAACUGACACUGAGGCACGAAAGCGUGGGGAGCAAACAGGAUUAGAUACCCGGGUAGUC